UAUUAGUAUAUAAAUAAAAAUUUUAUUAAACACAACAUAAAAUUACAUAUAAAACAUGUGUGAUGAUCUGAGAGCUAAAGAGACUUAUAAUGAAGAGGAUAGUGGAAAUAAUUUGAGUAAUAACAAUUCAUCCGUACGAAAAAAAUCAUUUAUGGAUGAAUUAAAAAAAACUAAUAGUCCUUUUUUAGGGAACAUAGCUAUGGAAGCAGUAGCUAAGGCAUCCAAAAUUAUUUCUCAGAACGAUAGAGCACAAACAGAAUAUAGUGGGGUUGGAGUAAAUCGUAUUGAAAAAGAAAUAGAUGCAAACGAUACUACAUAUGAUGACCAUAAUUGUGCUACUGAAAAUGACAAAUAUGAUAAUACUACUUCUGAGAAAAAAAAGAUGCAGUAAAAAAAAAAAAAAAAAAAAAAACACACAUAACACAUAACACAAUUAUAAAUAUAUAAUAACACAUGCAUACAUGUAUAUAUACGAGUCUUU
rnacentral:lncRNA from 1 species